rnacentral:lncRNA from 13 species
AUGGAGCUAAGAAUGAACUGCUCUAAUUUGGAUGUGCAGCCACUCUGGGCACAGAAACUCAGCCAACCACUAAAGACCAAUGUGAUGGGGGAAGAUUCCUCAAGAGAUCAUCAAACCUCAGUCUUACAAGGACUCAGUGGAGCUCUGAUGACUACUAUCUUGUGUGGGAUCUAAUAGGGGUCCCACUGAUCUAGAGACCAACAGCCUGGGGACCCAAGACAGCUGCUCUUUGACCAGAGCCUGUCCACCUGGACACCGAGGGACCUGCCUUGCUGCGUCACAUGUAUCUGUGACUAAGAAGAGAUUGGACUGGUUACUGCCUAGCUCUGUAGCCCAGUCGGCUCACAUAGUCCAGGGAAAAGGGAUUUGUUAGACACAGGGACUAGGACUUGGCAAACCCACCUGGGGUGGGGGAGUGCUUCUGAAAAGGGUCUACUUAGAAUUAAAGGCUGGGAGAGAAAUCCUGUGUCACUCUGAUGUCCAACAUAGCCAUACAAGCUGGCUGCCACUCCUGGCUAUGACUUAACCUUCUGACAGCUCUUCUCCAAUUGGACUUCUGGGUUUCUACCUGGACAAAAGGAGCCUAGGCAGAGAAUUCAGAGCUUUUGGCCUGCAUAGGUUGAAAAUGCAGCAGAGCAGAAUGAAGAUUAGAUGGAACUGAAUACUGGAACAUACUACAAUUGUCCCUUGAUCUCUGUGGGGCAUUGGUUCCAGGACCUCCCACAGAUAUCAAAAUCUGAAGAUGCUCAAGUCCCUAGUAUAAAAUGGCACAAUAUUUGCAUAUAACCUUCGUACCUCCUCUGUAUACUUUAAUUGUCUCUAGAUUACAGUCAUGUGCCACAUAACAAUGUUUAAGUCAACUAUGGGCCACAUAUGCAAUGGGGUCCCAUAAGAUUAUAACGGAGCUGAAAAAUUGCUUAGUGACAUCGUCACCCUCAUAAGGACAUAGUGCAAUGCAUCAUUCAUGGGUUGUGAUGAUAACCAUUCACAUGGUUUCUUGUGUAAACAAACCUACUGCACUGUCAGUUGUAUAAAAGUAUAGCACAUACAAUUAUGUGCAGUGCAUAAUACUUGGUAAGAUAAUAAAAGACUAUGUUACUGGUUUAUGUGUUUAGUA